rnacentral:rRNA from 1 species
GUGGGGAAUAUUGGGCAAUGGGCGCAAGCCUGACCCAGCAACGCCGCGUGAGGGAAGAAGGCUUUCGGGUUGUAAACCUCUGUCCUUGGUGACGAAACAAAUGACGGUAGCCAAGGAGGAAGCCCCGGCUAACUACGUGCCAGCAGCCGCGGUAAUACGUAGGGGGCGAGCGUUGUCCGGAAUUACUGGGCGUAAAGGGUGCGUAGGUGGCCUUUUAAGUUGGAUGUGAAAUACCCGGGCUUAACUUGGGGGGUGCAUCCAAAACUGGGAGGCUAGAGUGCAGGAGAGGAAAGCGGAAUUCCUAGUGUAGCGGUGAAAUGCGUAGAUAUUAGGAGGAACACCAGUGGCGAAGGCGGCUUUCUGGACUGUAACUGACACUGAGGCACGAAAGCGUGGGGAGCAAACAGGAUUAGAUACCCCGGUAGUCC